rnacentral:rRNA from 1 species
CAGGUUUACCUGUGUGACUGCGUACCUUUUGUAUAAUGGGUCAGCGACUUAUAUUCUGUAGCAAGGUUAACCGUAUAGGGGAGCCGCAGGGAAACCGAGUCUUAAUUGGGCGUUAAGUUGCAGGGUAUAGACCCGAAACCCGGUGAUCUAGCCAUGGGCAGGUUGAAGGUUGGGUAACACUAACUGGAGGACCGAACCGACUAAUGUUGAAAAAUUAGCGGAUGACCUGUGGCUGGGGGUGAAAGGCCAAUCAAACCGGGAGAUAGCUGGUUCUCCCCGAAAGCUAUUUAGGUAGCGCCUCGUGAAUUCAUCUCCGGGGGUAGAGCACUGUUUCGGCUAGGGGGCCAUCCCGGCUUACCAACCCGAUGCAAACUGCGAAUACCGGAGAAUGUUAUCACGGGAGACACACGGCGGGUGCUAACGUCCGUCGUGAAGAGGGAAACAACCCAGACCGCCAGCUAAGGUCCCAAAGUCAUGGUUAAGUGGGAAACGAUGUGGGAAGGCCCAGACAGCCAGGAUGUUGGCUUAGAAGCAGCCAUCAUUUAAAGAAAGCGUAAUAGCUCACUGGUCGAGUCGGCCUGCGCGGAAGAUGUAACG